CGUCGCCGCGGGAAUACGUAGGUGGCAAGCGUUGUCCGGAAUUAUUGGGCGUAAAGGGCUCGCAGGCGGCUUCUUAAGUCUGAUGUGAAAGCCCCCGGCUCAACCGGGGAGGGUCAUUGGAAACUGGGAAACUUGAGUGCAGAAGAGGAGAGUGGAAUUCCACGUGUAGCGGUGAAAUGCGUAGAGAUGUGGAGGAACACCAGUGGCGAAGGCGACUCUCUGGUCUGUAACUGACGCUGAGGAGCGAAAGCGUGGGGAGCGAACAGGAUUAGAUACCCCGGUAGUCCCUGUCUCUUAUACA
rnacentral:rRNA from 1 species